GGGCGUGACCCCCGGCGCCGGGGCUCCACACGGUCCCUUCCCGAACCCGCUCGUGAAACCCGGUAGCGCCAAUGGUACUGGUUCAUCCCGGUAGAGUAGGCCGCCGCGCCCC
rnacentral:rRNA from 1 species